rnacentral:lncRNA from 8 species
AUGGUACAGUCCAGGGUUGAGACAUGGUUCAGUCCAUGUUUGGGGAUUCAGUUGAAAAGGCUCUUUCCGAAAGACAUGGCCUUGUCUGCAGCACUGUCCAUAGCUGCAUCUGCUGCAGCCCCUUUCACGGCAUUAGACACCAUGCCACCAAUACCUGGAGGAACAACCACAACAUCAGACACCAUGCCACCAAUACCUGGAGGAACAACCACAACAUCAGACACCAUGCCACCAAUACCUGGAGGAACAACCACAACAUCAGACACCAUGCCACCAAUACCUGGUGGAACAACCACAACAUCAGACACCAUGCCACCAAUACCUGGUGGAACAACCACAACAUCAGACACCAUGCCACCAAUACCUGGUGGAACAACCACAACAUCAGACACCAUGCCACCAAUACCUGGCGGAACAACCACAACAUCAGACACCUUGCCACCAAUACCUGGAGGAACAACCACAACAUCAGACACCAUGCCACCAAUACCUGGUGGAACAACCACAACAUCAGACACCAUGCCACCAAUACCUGGUGGAACAACCACAACAUCAGACACCAUGCCACCAAUACCUGGAGGAACAACCACAACAUCAGACACCAUGCCACCAAUACCUGGUGGAACAACCACAACAUCAGACACCUUGCCACCAAUACCUGGAGGAACAACCACAACAUCAGACACCAUGCCACCAAUACCUGGUGGAACAACCACAACAUCAGACACCAUGCCACCAAUACCUGGAGGAACAACCACAACAUCAGACACCAUGCCACCAAUACCUGGAGGAACAACCACAACAUCAGACACCAUGCCACCAAUACCUGGAGGAACAACCACAACAUCAGACACCAUGCCACCAAUACCUGGUGGAACAACCACAACAUCAGACACCAUGCCACCAAUACCUGGAGGAACAACCACAACAUCAGACACCAUGCCACCAAUACCUGGAGGAACAACCACAACAUCAGACACCAUUUCAACAAUACUGUACAUACAAAGACAUGGGACUGCAACACACUACCAUUAUAUCUCUUACAGCGGUGUCACGUUAAGCAGGCAGCAACGGACUGAAUGCAGAUAG